UAGCAUGUGAAAGGGGUGAUGAAUUCUUUUGCAGACACAUCAAGUGCUUUUAUAUAUAUACAUCAUGCACCCCAUGCUCUUCCAGUCCCUACCAAGCCUUCAAACCCCUCCUCGUCAUCAUCAUCAUCAUCUCUCUCUCUCUCUCUCUCUCCUUCUUCUUCUUCUUCUUCUUCUUCUUCUUCUCGAGAUGCUGUCAAGAAACAAGGGCGGUAUCUUCCAUCUAGGGGAGGAUGAGACCACCAAGACUAUAGUGAGCAUCAGAGAACCAAAGCACAUGAGACCGGCAUCGGAGGGCAUCGAAGGCCUUCGAAUCCUCAUACACCACAAGGAGCAAGGAUCAAACGUUGUGACAAAAUCGACUUGCAGUCUUUCCAAGGGUUUAGGGUUCCUAAAGUCAUGCUUCCUGUGCAAAAGGGAGCUCAGCCUCUCCAAGGAUGUUUACAUGUACAGGGGAGACCUGGGAUUCUGCAGCAAAGAAUGCCGUUCUCGCCAGAUUCUGCAAGAGGAACGACGAGAGUUUGAGAUGGCAGCGAGGACGCGACUGCGGGAGCCUCAACAUCGUCUUCGAGCCAGCGCUAGGAUUCGUGACCAAGAUCGAAACAGUAGGAUACCCGGAGUGGCCUAAGCACUCGGAUGACCGUAUGGAAGGUCUAGAGAAGAUGCUAUGGAUCCUCUUCUUUUCUUCCCCUUGUUCUUUUAGAGGAGGAGAGGCAUCCUUUUUUGGAGGAAGGAGAAGUCCACAGUGUUGUUCUGUUGACAUAGGAAUGAAUAGUCGACGUCAAAGUAUCCAUUCAUUUUCUUUUCUUUUUC